rnacentral:rRNA from 1 species
AAGACCGAAGUACAUGAUUCCAUGCUUCCAAGAAAAGCAUCUAGAGAGAGAAGUAGUGCCCGUACCGCAAACCGACACAGGUAGAUGAGGAGAGAAUCCUAAGGCCGGCGGAAGAAUUGCAGUUAAGGAACUAGGCAAAUUGACCCCGUAAGUUCGCGAGAAGGGGUGCCUGCGAGAGCAGGCCGCAGAGAAUAGGCCCAAGCAACUGUUUAGCAAAAACACAGGUCUCUGCUAAAGCGUAAGCUGAUGUAUAGGGGCUGACGCCUGCCCGGUGCUGGAAGGUUAAGGGGAAUACUUAGCGCAAGCGAAGGUAUGAACUUAAGCCCCAGUAAACGGCGGUCGUAACAAUAACGGUCCUAAGGUAGCGAAAUUCCUUGUCAGGUAAGUUCUGACCCGCACGAAUGGCGUAAUGACUUGGGCACUGUCUCAACUGCAAAUCCGGCGAAGUUGUAGUGCGAGUGAAGAUGCUCGCUACCCGCGAUUGGACGGAAAGACCCCGUAGAGCUUUACUGUAGCUUAGCAUUGAAUUCCGGUAUUGUCUGUACAGGAUAGGUGGGAGACUGGGAAACUAGGGCGUCAGCCUUAGUGGAGUCAACCUUGGGAUACCACCCUGACAGUACUGGGGUUCUAACAGGACGCCAUGAAGCUGGUGACUGGACAUUGUUAGGUGGGCAGUUUGACUGGGGCGGUCGCCUCCUAAAAAGUAACGGAGGCGCCCAAAGGUUCCCUCAGAACGGUCGGAAAUCGUUCGUAGAGUGCAAAGGCAGAAGGGAGCCUGACUGCGAGACCCACAAGUCGAGCAGGGACGAAAGUCGGGCUUAGUGAUCCGGUGGUACCUCGUGGGAGGGCCAUCGCUCAACGGAUAAAAGCUACCUCGGGGAUAACAGGCUGAUCUCCCCCAAAAGUCCACAUCGACGGGGAGGUUUGGCACCUCGAUGUCGGCUCGUCGCAUCCUGGGGCUGUAGUAGGUCCCAAGGGUUGGGCUGUUCGCCCAUUAAAGCGGCACGCGAGCUGGGUUCAGAACGUCGUGAGACAGUUCGGUCCCUAUCCGUCGCGGGCGUAGGAAAUUUGAGAGGAGCUAUCCUUAGUACGAGAGGACCGGGAUGGACCGACCUCUGGUGCACCAGUUGUUCUGCCAAGAGCAUGGCUGGGUAGCUAAGUCGGGAAGGGAUAAACGCUGAAAGCAUCUAAGCGUGAAGCCCCCCUCAAGAUGAGAUUUCCCAUAGCAUAAGCUAGUAAGACCCCUUGAAGAACACAAGGUUGAUAGGUCAGAGGUGGAAGUGCGGUAACGUAUGUAGCUGACUGAUACUAAUAGGUCGAGGGCUUGACCU